UACGGGGGGGGCAAGCGUUGUUCGGAAUUACUGGGCGUAAAGGGCUUGUAGGUGGCCAACUAAGUCAAACGUGAAAUCCCCCGGCUUAACCAGGGAACUGCGUCUGAUACUGGAUGGCUUGAGAUUGGGAGAGGGAUGCGGAAUUCCAGGUGUAGCGGUGAAAUGCGUAGAUAUCUGGAGGAACACCGGUGGCGAAGGCGGCAUCCUGGACCAACACUGACACUGAAAAGCGAAAGCCAGGGGAGCAAACGGG
rnacentral:rRNA from 1 species